AUGAUCCACUUGGGGUGCCUUUAUAAGGGCUGAGAUUAAAGUGACUAACUUUGAAACUCAAUGAACUUGAGACGGGUAAUACCGUCGUAAGGAAGUGGCAGUAAUUGAUA
rnacentral:ncRNA from 2 species